rnacentral:rRNA from 1 species
GCCAGCAGCCAUAUCACCCAGCAGCUCUCAACUGGCAGUAACUGAAGCUAAUCAGGGUUGAACCUCGUCAGUACCUGGAUGGGAGACCUCCUGGGAAAACCUGUGAUUGCUGCUGGAA